rnacentral:rRNA from 1 species
UACAGAGGUCUCAAGCGUUGUUCGGAUUCAUUGGGCGUAAAGGGCGCGUAGGCGGCGGGGUAAGUCGGGUGUGAAAUCUCAGAGCUCAACUCUGAAACUGCACUCGAUACUGCUCUGCUUGAGGACUGGAGAGGAGACUGGAAUUCACGGUGUAGCAGUGAAAUGCGCAGAUAUCGGGAGGAACACCGGUGGCGAAGGCGGUUCUCUGGGCCUGUACUGACGCUGAGGAGCGAAGCGUGGGGAGCGAACAGG